CCUACGGGAGGCAGCAGUGAGGAAUAUUGGUCAAUGGGCGAGAGCCUGAACCAGCCAAGUCGCGUGAAGGAUGACGGCCCUACGGGUUGUAAACUUCUUUUGUCAGGGAGCAAUUGAGUCCACGUGUGGUCUUAGCGAGAGUCCCUGAAGAAAAAGCAUCGGCUAACUCCGUGCCAGCAGCAGCGGUAAUACGGAGGAUGCGAGCGUUAUCCGGUUUUAUUGGGUUUAAAGGGUGCGUAGGCGGAAUAUCAAGUCAGCGGUAAAAAUUCGGGGCUCAACCCCGUCGUGCCGUUGAAACUGGGAGCCUUGAGUAUGUGUGAGGCAGGCGGAAUGCGUGGUGUAGCGGUGAAAUGCUUAGAUAGCACGCAGAACCCCGAUUGCGAAGGCAGCCUGCCAAGCCAUGACUGACGCUGAUGCACGAAAGCGUGGGGAUCAAACAGGAUUAGAUACCCCAGUAGUC
rnacentral:rRNA from 1 species